rnacentral:sRNA from 1 species
GCUAAUGACUGUGUACAAUAAAUAAAUAAUUAACAAAAUCUUAAAACUAGUUAACAAAAUAUGACAUCAAAACGGAGUGACAGUCAGUGCCCUUACACAGAAUGUGUAAUUAUACAUAAAAGUUUCUUAUUCUUUGAAUAUCACAGUAAGUUCUCAGCUAAUAAAUCGAAUUCUCAUAAAGAGAGAUCUACAGUAUAGGCUGCUUAAAAGUAAAAGUGUAUAUAUUUUGUAACAAAUAAUGAAUUAUUAUAAUUAACUAAUUUUACUGAUUAACCUCUGUGGGUUCCAGGUACUGAUUUAAUGUAGAAGCGUGGUAAGGUAUAGUCAUCUGCGACAUCUUCAGUAGGUUCGUUGAGAAUACCCACUGUAGACAGAUAUGACGAAUCUGACCAGGAUAUAUUUUUCUCGAUUUCGUGGAUUUCGCUUACAAUAUGGUUUUCGUGAGUAGCCAACUUCUCUACAAACUUCCUUUGAUGUUGUUGGGCGUACUUACAAAAUGGCACAACGUUAGAGAUUUUGUAUAUGUAAGUAUUGGAGAAUUUUUUGUGAUGAGAUUGAUAAUAUUUCCAAUUCGUUGGCAACUAUUGGGGAAAUAGGAAACCAGAUUGGAAAUGCGUAUGUUAGGAUAGAUCUAAUUGCCACCUUAUAUAGGAGCAGCUUGGUGUUUUGAGGUAAAUAAUUGCUGUUAAGGAUGUUUGAAAAACUCGCUAAUAUACCUUUAACUUUUUGCAUGAUGGAACGAGCAUGGUCGUUGAAUUUUAAGAGAUGAUUGAAUGUUACACCAAGGUACUUUAAGGAUGUGCUGAAAGGAAUUUCUACUCCUUCUAAAGACAAUUUUAAUUGCUUGCUUUCUGGUACAACUUUUCGUGGGCAUUUGCCCGACGCAUUACGUAUGCAUAUGGCUACCGAUUUAGCGGCAUUUAUUUUAAUACCCCAUUGUUUAUAGAAGUUGUUGAUUAUGUGUAGGUGUUCUGAAGCAACACUCAGGCAAUGGCUGGCGAAGGAUUAUGUGCGUAGAUUAUGCAAUCAUCUGCAUACAGGAUUGCUUUGGAUUGUUGAUACAUGUGUGGAAAGUCAUGAAGAAACAGGUUAAAAAGGUAUGGUGCCAAGAUACUACCUUGAGGAACGCCGCUAUUUACAUGGCCCAAGGAUGAUGAUGUAUUCCGGAUCUGAACCAUAAAUUUACGAGAAUUGAAGAAACUCUUUAGCAUUUUUAUAAUAAAUGGAUCUACUCCAAGUUGAAUUAAUUUGAACAAAAUACCGAGCACUACUUCCAGUAUUUUACCAAUAUUUGACAAAAGGGAAAUUGGGCGAAAGUCAUCAACGUUGCAAUUUGCUGUUUUCUUGUUAAUGGGUAUGAUUUUGGCAACUUUCCAUUGUUUGGGAAAGUAUCCGUUGUUAAUGCAAUUAUUGAAAAGAUGAAGUAAAGUGGUAUGUGUCUGGAUUGUGGAGAGAAUUAAAAUUUUCAUCGAAUGAAUAUAUAUGAGUUGGUGUUGAGUUGAUACAUGUUAACAGCGUAGAAUUAUGCUCAUCUGAGGCAGGAAGUGUUGUUGAGCCUUCAAAUAUGGUGGAAUAAAAAUUCUUAAAAUGAUCUGCAA